UGACAGAUUGAGGUCAUUUUCUCAUUAAUAAAUGAAAAGCGCUAAAGUUGAACUGUUGCCUUGGAGCUGGAACUGGAAUUUCCAAUUUUUGUGUCGCACAGCGGCUAACAUGGACAACAGCAGUUCCAUGUCAGACUGGCAGAACUCCAGCUACAACCUGCAUCUGGACUUGUUCAACUUUGAGAGUGUAGAGGCUGUCGAUAGCCCUUACAUAUUGACCAGUCCGCGAUCGCUGGAAGCGUGCACGCAACUUGAAGUUCAGCCCAUUGAGUUGCUGCACAAGGACCUGAUGGAGUUUGAGGAGGAAUGUCUCCUGACUGGCCAGCCGUUGAGUAACGCCAAGAGGCUGUAUGAAGAACACGAAGAGCAAAGACUCAGGAAACUGAAGCAGUGUCGUCGCUUGAGAGAAAGGCUGAUCCUUGAACAAGAAGAAGAUGAGAACUCAAGACACAAGUCCAGACACCAUUCGAAAGGCACCGAGUCACCUAAGAGAGACCAUGAAUAUUCAAUAAAGAACAGAAGUCUGGAGUUUGGACAAGGUGAUAACAGGAACACAGUCACAGACAAACCUCAGCGUCCAGCAUCAGCACAUUUCACGAGCCAACGAUCGCAAAAGUCUAACAGACCAUCCACAGCCCCUUCAAGCGAACCCAGGAGAACGACUCGCUCCAUCACGCACCACACACCCGCCUCGCCGAUUGUCACAACCCCUGGCUUGAGGUCAAAGGUCAGAGGCCCACAGGAGAGGUCAAUGUCCUCGUGUUCAUCGCGACAGUCCGUCAGUCGGCUUUCAUCGGCGUCUGGUGCCAGUGUUUUGUCAGAUCAGGAUCAGAAAAUCUUAGACCUGCUGGAGAAAAAAUACAAAGAUGAGAAAAUGGUGGAAGAAAUGCGGCAGGAGAUGAGGCUAGCAUGGGACGAGCAGAGGCGGACUGAAGAAAGGUCAAAGGUCAGGAAUGAGAUGCAACGCAGGAAGAACCUGGCCGAGGCAAACCAGUCCAGGCAGAAAAAGAAGGAGAGGGAACAACGGCAGAAACAGCUGAAGAGAGACAAAGAGAUGAAAGAAGCAGAAGAAGACGUUCAGUACAGGGACUUGCACCAUGCCAGACUGGUGAAGGAGCAAGAAGCCUUGAUGCAACAUCAGAUUCAGCUCAAGAAACUUGAAGAUGCGGAAAAGAAGAACAAACAGGAGCGAGUGUUGAAGAAGCGAGAGCAGAAGGAUGAGGAGUAUCGCCAGGCGGUGUCUGAUCACUUGGCUGUCACUCAGGAGAGAGCUGAGAGGUUACGCAGCCUGAAAGAAGACCAGGAGGCUAGGGAAUAUAAAGAGAGGAACUGGAAGGGGACAUUACUCCGUUCAUCCAUGAAAGCCAGCCUAGAGAAAGAUAAUCAGGAGUACAUGACUUCAUUAAGAGAGUCCAUCCUUCUGAAGCAGAGUCGAGCAGAGCGCAAUCUGGGCAAUCGGCAGUGGCUUCAAGAACACGAGAUCAAGCUCAACAGACAGAAGGAAGAAUCGCUGCAAGAGAAGAGUAGACAGCUACGUCAAGAAAUUGAAGAUGAGAAUCGUCAAUGGCAACGACAACUGAUGUACGAGUCACUCAUGGCCCAAGAAAGAGCGGCCCAGCAAGCUAACGAAACCGUCCAAUCCAAAGCCAACAAGGCCAGGUAUGCCAGAAGGUCCCGGGAGCUGACUCACAAGGAACUGAAAAAGAGAGUUGAUGAGGACGAAGCUCUGUAUCAGGAAUCCAUCAAGAUGGACCUGGCCUACAAGGACAUGAAGAGCCAAUCGCUAGCCGCCCAGAAACAGGAUGUUAUCCAAAGGUCAAGGGUCGUUGCCAUGGAGUCAGCCAAACUCAGGGAUCAGAUCAGACAACAGUACCUAGGAUCUUUUGACAAAAUGGCACAGAGGGCACAGCACCAAUCCAGCUUGGGCAGGGGACCACAGAUGUCAACCAAGAACUAUACCACAUUCACUAUGACAUGACAACGUGGUCUGUGACGUCUCAGAACAUAUCUGCCUAAAGUAGGCUGUGUCUCAGAUCACAUCUGCCUUAAGGAGGCUUUGCACCAAUCCAGCCUGGGCAGGGGACCACAGAUGUCAACCAAGAACUAUACCACAUUCACUGUGACAUGACAACGUGGUCUGUGACGUCUCAGAACAUAUCUGCCUAAAGGAGGCUCUGUCUCAGAGCACAUCUGCCUAAAGGAGGCUUUGCACCAAUCCAGCCUGGGCAGGGGACCACAGAUGUCCACCAAGUACUAUACCACAUCCUCUGUGACAUGACAACGUGGUCUGUGAGGUCUCAGAACAUAUCUGCCUAAAGGAGGCUCUGUCUCAGAGCACAUCUGCCUAAAGGAGGCUUUGCUUCUGAGAUUUCAAGGUAAUUUUUUUUAAAAGACAUAGAAACAUUCACAAUCAAUGAAGUCUUGAACAGAAAUACAGCAUCAAAGGUAAAACACGAGAUAUGGUCCUUUGUAAAUUUUCAUAUUUUUGGCAAAUGUACAGCUUUAUUUCACUCAAAAUGUUUUCCCUGCUUUAAUUCAAAUGUUGAGCAUUUCAUACAUAGUGUACUGUAAUUAAUACUGUAUAAAAAAUAUAAUUAAGAACAUUUUCUUUUGUAAAUUACACACUUAUGGAUGUGACGUAACAAUGUGUUUUACUCAAUCAAGUAGAUUAAUUACUAAACGCCGAACAGAAAAAUCCAAACCAAAUAUCAAAAUUUUCUAUGAUUAAUAUUAAAAAAGUUAAAAUUUAA